UACGGAGGGUGCGAGCGUUGUCCGGAAUCACUGGGCGUAAAGGGCGCGUAGGCGGCCUGAUAAGUAGGGGGUGAAAUCCUGAGGCUUAACCUCAGGGCUGCCUUCUAAACUGUCGGGCUCGAGCACAGUAGAGGCAGGUGGAAUUCCCGGUGUAGCGGUGGAAUGCGUAGAGAUCGGGAAGAACAUCAGUGGCGAAGGCGGCCUGCUGGGCUGUUGCUGACGCUGAGGCGCGACAGCGUGGGGAGCAAGCAGG
rnacentral:rRNA from 1 species